CGGAGAGGGAGCCUGAGAAACGGCUACCACUUCUAAGGAAGGCAGCAGGCGCGCAAAUUACCCAAUCCUGACUCAGGGAGGUAGUGACAAGAAAUAACAAUAAACCGGCUUAUGCCGGUUUAAUUGGAAUGAGUACAAUUUAAACAUCUUAACGAGGAACAAUUGGAGGGCAAGUCUGGUGCCAGCAGCCGCGGUAAUUCCAGCUCCAAUAGCGUAUACUAAAGUUGUUGCAGUUAAAAAGCUCGUAGUUGGAUUUCUGCGGGGACGGAGCGGCCGGACGCAACUUGCGUCUCGAGCUAGCGCUUUCCCCGCAUCCUGCCGCGAACCGUGCUACCAUUAGCUUGGUGGCGCUGGGGAUCGGCUCGAUUACUUUGAGAAAAAUAGAGUGUUCAAAGCAGGCCACACGCCUUGAAUAAGUUAGCAUGGAAUAAUGACUAAGGACUUCGGUUCUAUUUUGUUGGUGUUCGGGACUGAAGUAAUGAUUGAUAGGGACAGUUGGGGCGGUCUGUAUUCCAAAGCGAGAGGUGAAAUUCUUAGACCUUCGGAAGACAAACAGCUGCGAAAGCGUUCCGCAAGGAUGUUCCCUUUGAUCAAGAACGAAAGUUGGGGGAUCGAAGACGAUCAGAUACCGUCGUAGUCUCAACUAUAAACUAUACCAGCUAGGGAUCGGUCAACGUUUAAUCAUUCGACUUGAUCGGCACCUUAUGAGAAAUCAAAGCAUCUGGGUUCCGGGGGGAGUAUGGUCGCAAGGCUGAAACUUAAAGGAAUUGACGGAAGGGCACCACCAGCCGUGGAGCCUGUGGCUUAAUUUGACUCACCACGGGAAAACUUACCAGGUCCAGACAUAGUAAGGAUUGACAGAUUGAUAGCUCUUUCUUGAUUCUGUGGGUGGUGGUGCAUGGCCGUUCUUAGUUGGUGGAGUGAUUUGUCUGGUUAAUUCCGUUAACGAACGAGACCCCAGCCUGCUAAAUAGCGCGGCUGAGCUUUGCUCGGUGCGAGCUUCUUAGAGGGACUAUGAUGCGCGAUAGCACAUGGAAGUUUGGGGCAAUAACAGGUCUGUGAUGCCCUUAGAUGUUCUGGGCCGCACACGGGCUACACUGGCGCCUGCAACGAGCAUAUCAGCUGGCCCGAGAGGGUCUUGGCUAAUCUUUUGAACCGGCGCCGUGCUUGGGAUUGACCAUUGCAAUUGUUGGUCAUGCAACGAGGAAUGCCUUGUAAACGCGAGUCAUCAGCUCGCAUUGAAUACGUCCCUGCCCUUUGUACACACCGCCCGUCGCUCCUACCGAUGAAUGUUCCGAUGAAAUUUUCGGAGAGCGCCAGAGAACGGGGCUCUGCCUUGCAGAUCUGGAGGCUCAAAGUCACUUAAAUCUGAACAUUUCGAGGAAGGAGAAGUCGUAACAAGGUAACC
rnacentral:rRNA from 1 species